rnacentral:rRNA from 1 species
GACGAACGCUGGCGGCGUGCUUAACACAUGCAAGUCGAACGGAAAGGCCCUGCUUUUGUGGGGUGCUCGAGUGGCGAACGGGUGAGUAACACGUGAGUAACCUGCCCUUGACUUUGGGAUAACUUCAGGAAACUGGGGCUAAUACCGUAUAGGAGCUCCUGCUGCAUGGUGGGGGUUGGAAAGUUUCGGCGGUUGGGGAUGGACUCGCGGCUUAUCAGCUUGUUGGUGGGGUAGUGGCUUACCCAGGCUUUGACGGGUAGCCGGCCUGAGAGGGUGACCGGCCACAUUGGGCCUGAGAUACGGCCCAGACUCCUACGGGAGGCAGCGGUGGGGAAUAUUGCACAAUGGGCGGAAGCCUGAUGAAGCAACGCCGCGUGCGGGAUGACGGCCUUCGGGUUGUAAACCGCUUUCGCCUGUGACGAAGCGUGAGUGACGGUAAUGGGUAAAGAAGCACCGGCUAACUACGUG